CGGAAGUGCCUUUCUUGUGCUGAAACGAUUUUAGUGUGAGAACUCAAAUCAUCCCAGCUCAGAGGGCACUUUCUUUACUCCGACACCCGCCCGGAACCUAUCUCAUCGGUGGAUCGAG
rnacentral:sRNA from 10 species